CACGUAGGGUGCGAGCGUUGUCCGGAAUUAUUGGGCGUAAAGAGCUCGUAGGCGGUGUGUCGCGUCGGCCGUGAAAACCUGCAGCUUAACUGUGGGCUUGCGGUCGAUACGGGCAUCACUGGAGUUCGGCAGGGGAGACUGGAAUUCCUGGUGUAGCGGUGAAAUGCGCAGAUAUCAGGAGGAACACCAAUGGCGAAGGCAGCACUCUGGGACGUGACUGACGCUGAGACGCGAAAGCGUGGGGAGCGAACAGG
rnacentral:rRNA from 1 species